AUUCCAUACUUGUUUACUUAGAAACACGUUAGAUACUCCAAAACAUUUAGCGCAGUAUUCUUUGAAUACAGAAGUGUCAUAUUUUUUUAUUUUUUUAUUAAACGAGGCAAUGUAAAGACAAACUCAUAAGAGUAUAGUGAUAAAGCAAUUAUCGAAAGUGUCUGGGACAGUUCAUUGUGAUCCUUAAUCCAACAACUUGAAACUAUAAAUGCAAACUUAAUACAGUCAAUACGCAAAUUUAAUCAUCAUCAUACUAGUCUUCAAAUAUUUGUUCGGUAUUUUCACAAAGAUGCGGAUUUUUACUACUUGGAACACUUUCAUAAUGAUCACUUUCGGACGCUGAUGAAUUGCCUUUCUUGUACUUAAGCAAACCCACUAAAUUGGUCAGUGAGUAAUAGUAAUAGUAACAAGUAACUCAGAAUACAAUACCUAAAGUACCGCUUUGAAAUAGCGCCAAACCACAACCGGCAAAAGCUGAACGUUCGUUUGCAAUUGCUGUGAAUUGGACAAUUUUUUGCCAGUCAGCGCUGGAAUUCGUUUAAGACAAUUCGUUUGCCACAGCAUUGUCAUCAUCAAAAAAUUGAUAUUCGGACCACCAGCUAUUUAAUGCGAGUUUUACUAUUGCUCAUGUCUUUGGAUUUACACGUCUAUGCCACAUAUGUAUACAGAUUUUGACCGGAGCUUGAAAACCGUUCAGUACCAUGGCAAGCAUAGUGCUGCAUAUUACAACGUUUUGCAUGGAUUCCGAC